rnacentral:rRNA from 1 species
AGUGAACGCUGGCGGUAGGCCUAACACAUGCAAGUCGAACGGCAGCACAGUAAGAGCUUGCUCUUACGGGUGGCGAGUGGCGGACGGGUGAGGAAUACAUCGGAAUCUACUUUUUCGUGGGGGAUAACGUAGGGAAACUUACGCUAAUACCGCAUACGACCUACGGGUGAAAGCAGGGGAUCUUCGGACCUUUCGCGAUUGAAUGAGCCGAUGUCGGAUUAGCUAGUUGGCGGGGUAAAGGCCCACCAAGGCGACGAUCCGUAGCUGGUCUGAGAGGAUGAUCAGCCACACUGGAACUGAGACACGGUCCAGACUCCUACGGGAGGCAGCAGUGGGGAAUAUUGGACAAUGGGCGAAAGCCUGAUCCAGCAAUACCGCGUGGGUGAAGAAGGCCUUCGGGUUGUAAAGCCCUUUUGUUGGGAAAGAAAAGCAGCAGGUUAAUACCCCGAUGUUCUGACGGUACCCAAAGAAUAAGCACCGGCUAACUUCGUG